GCCAGUGAGGUGUAGUGGUUUGAACAUUGGACUAAGACUCUGGAGACCAUGGUUUGAAUCCUGGCUUGGCCA